rnacentral:tRNA from 1 species
GGAGAGAUGGCUGAGUGGUCGAAAGCGGCGGUCUUGAAAACCGCUGUCCUUUCACGAGGACCGGGGGUUCGAAUCCCUCUCUCUCCG